rnacentral:lncRNA from 1 species
AUGCUGCGUCAUAGGAGUGCAAAGGGUUGUGCAGGGGAAGGGUGGGACACACAAAAUCACUGUUUCUCCUCUCUUCAGGAGAGUAACCAGCAUUUUUAUGCAACAUCUGAACAGUAUACAAAUCAAAUAUGUUUUCAUUACCACAGAAUUGGGGGGAGUCUUCCCCACCUCCCCCCCAGAAAUAACCAAAACAUCUUCUGCAAAUGUUUGGCAUGUUUGGCACUGUCUACCAGAAGGCCACUUAAAAUGCAUUUUUUUCUGACUGCCAACUGCAUCCAGCCCAGCUGUAGGCACAGGGAAGCAUUCACCAGCACAGCCCCUGCCCAGCAAAUGCCUUUUCAGCUGUGGGGAGGCUGGGCUAAGCAGGUAGAUGCAAUGGCUGUGUUCCACCAAGCUACAAAAGCUCGCUCGAGGAGAUGCUGUGUCUUGUUUGUUGUUCACAAACAGGCUGUUAAAAUGUCAGAUGGUAAAAACAACCAAGAGUUCCAGAUGGGGCAAUUGGAAGAGAAACAUGCUGAAGAUGAUAAUAAGAAAGUUCUGGAUUCUCUCAAUUGGGAAUCCCAUGUCCUCACCUGUGACUUCCAAAUGCAAUCACUAUUCAAGUCUUGUGCAAAGCAGCACGUCAUGAGGAAGUUCUUCGUUAUCAGGGGCUGA